GUUAUUAAGGGCGCACGGUGGAUGCCUUGGCACUAGAAGCCGAUGAAGGACGUUACUAACGACGAUAUGCUUUGGGUAGCUGUAAGUAAGCGUUGAUCCAGAGAUUUCCGAAUGGGGGAACCCAGCAUGAGUUAUGUCAUGUUAUCGACAUGUGAAUUCAUAGCAUGUCAGAAGGCAGACCCGGAGAACUGAAACAUCUUAGUACCCGGAGGAAGAGAAAGAAAAAUCGAUUCCCUGAGUAGCGGCGAGCGAAACGGGAAGAGCCCAAACCAACAAGCUUGCUUGUUGGGGUUGUAGGACACUCUAUACGGAGUUACAAAAGAACAUGUUAGACGAAUCAUCUGGAAAGAUGAAUCAAAGAAGGUAAUAAUCCUGUAGUCGAAAACAUAUUCUCUCUUGAGUGGAUCCUGAGUACGACGGAGCACGUGAAAUUCCGUCGGAAUCUGGGAGGACCAUCUCCUAAGGCUAAAUACUCUCUAGUGACCGAUAGUGAACCAGUACCGUGAGGGAAAGGUGAAAAGUACCCCGGAAGGGGAGUGAAAGAGAACUUGAAACCGUGUGCUUACAAGUAGUCAGAGCCCGUUAAUGGGUGAUGGCGUGCCUUUUGUAGAAUGAACCGGCGAGUUACGAUCUGAUGCAAGGUUAAGCAGCAAAUGUGGAGCCGCAGCGAAAGCGAGUCUGAAUAGGGCGUUGAGUAUUUGGUCGUAGACCCGAAACCAGGUGAUCUACCCUUGGUCAGGUUGAAGUUCAGGUAACACUGAAUGGAGGACCGAACCGACUUACGUUGAAAAGUGAGCGGAUGAACUGAGGGUAGCGGAGAAAUUCCAAUCGAACUUGGAGAUAGCUGGUUCUCUCCGAAAUAGCUUUAGGGCUAGCCUCAAGUGAUGAUUAUUGGAGGUAGAGCACUGUUUGGACGAGGGGCCCCUCUCGGGUUACCGAAUUCAGACAAACUCCGAAUGCCAAUUAAUUUAACUUGGGAGUCAGAACAUGGGUGAUAAGGUCCGUGUUCGAAAGGGAAACAGCCCAGACCACCAGCUAAGGUCCCAAAAUAUAUGUUAAGUGGAAAAGGAUGUGGCGUUGCCCAGACAACUAGGAUGUUGGCUUAGAAGAAGCCAUCAUUUAAAGA
rnacentral:rRNA from 1 species